rnacentral:tRNA from 1 species
GCCGAUGUAGCUCAGCUGGUAGAGCAACUGAUUUGUAAUCAGUGGGUCGGGGGUUCGAUCCCUCUCAUCGGCU